GCUUAUACUCGACCGUCAGCGGCACGUGCGAUCGCCCGCGAGGGCGGUCACGAAGCCCUGACGAGUAGGAGGGUCGCGGCGGUGAGCGCAGAAGGGCUGGCCGCGAGGCCGUCUGGAGCCGCCGUCGGUGCAGAUCUUGGUGGUAGUAGCAAAUACUCCAGCGAGGCCCUGGAGGACUGACGUGGAGAAGGGUUUCGUGUGAACAGCCGUUGCACACGAGUCAGUCGAUCCUAAGCCCUAGGCGAAAGCCGAUGUCGAUGCGGUGUAGUUUUUACCAAAAAAUAUAUAUAUAUAUAUAUAUAUAUAUUUCUAUAUAUAUGUGUGUGUGUGUAUAGAGCGAGAACACACCCGUCGGGCGAAAGGGAAUCCGGUUCCUAUUCCRGAACCUGGCAGCGGAACCGUCAAUAAGUCGGGC
rnacentral:rRNA from 1 species